CCCGGUGAAGUUUUAACGGCCGCAGUUAGAAGCUGUGCUAAGGUAGCGUAGUAAGUUGUCCUUUAAAUGGGGAAAGGAAUGAAUGGUUUGACGUGAGAAUUUCUGUCUCUGGUAGAGCCUAAAAAAUUUUCUUCUUGGUGAAAAGCCCAAGAUUUAAAUAAAAGACGAGAAGACCCUUUCGAGCUUGAUUAAGCGAGAAAUUAGUUUUGAGUAGAAGUUUGGUUGGGGCAACCUAGGAGGAAGAAAAGACUCCUUAGAGAUGAUUUGGAUCCAAAAUUUUUGAAAAGGGAAAAAGCUACCGUAGGGAUAACAGCGUUAUCUUUCCUGAGAGAACAUAUUGAAGGAAGG
rnacentral:rRNA from 1 species